rnacentral:rRNA from 1 species
GACGAACGCUGGCGGCGUGCCUAAUACAUGCAAGUUGAGCGAUGAAGAUUGGUGCUUGCACCAAUUUGAAGAGCAGCGAACGGGUGAGUAACGCGUGGGGAAUCUGCCUUUGAGCGGGGGACAACAUUUGGAAACGAAUGCUAAUACCGCAUAACAACUUUAAACAUAAGUUUUAAGUUUGAAAGAUGCAAUUGCAUCACUCAAAGAUGAUCCCGCGUUGUAUUAGCUAGUUGGUGAGGUAAAGGCUCACCAAGGCGAUGAUACAUAGCCGACCUGAGAGGGUGAUCGGCCAAAUUGGGACUGAGACACGGCACAAACUCCUACGGGAGGCAGCAGUAGGGAAUCUUCGGCAAUGGACGAAAGUCUGACCGAGCAACGCCGCGUGAGUGAAGAAGGUUUUCGGAUCGUAAAACUCGGUUGGUAGAGAAGAACGUUGGUGAGAGUGGAAAGCUCAUCAAGUGACGGUAACUACACAGAAAGGGACGGCUAACUACGUG